rnacentral:misc_RNA from 1 species
GAGAGGAGCGAGCGACUCCUGCGCAAGCGCAGAGUGAAGGGCCGGGAACAGUGGAGGGUGCGAGGAAGACAAUGGGGGAGGACCCUGAGGCGGCCUCUGUGAGCCGACAGGAACACGUGGUCGAUCAGAGAGAGACUCGAGGUUCGUGAACGGAUGGGGAGGACCCUGAAAAGCACUGUGGAAUACAGGUUUCUAGUAACUUCAAAAUCACAUCAUUUGGACUGGGUAAGAAUUGCUGAAACUUUAAUGAAAAGACUGACUGGCUUAUAAAACUGCUAACCCAAAUAGAAUAAAAAUUAAUUGAAUACCGAGGAAAUACUUCACCAGGUUUGCAUACUUAAUCAGCCUAUACUGAAAUUGUUUAGAUAUACAAUUUGAAUGAACUCCAUGGUCUAAGUCAAAUUACCUGUGAUAACCCAUCAGUUAUCCAUGCUAUGUGCCCAAUUUGGAGAAACAACUGGCACCCAAGAGGACAUAAGUCCGAUGUUAAGCAUGGACUCAUGGAGAACCAAGAUGGCUGCCUUGUCCUUCGUGAGUCCUUAAAGCUUUUGUUAUUAAAAGUUAUGCAUUCCAUGACUCAUCCUGGAAAAGAUAAAAUGAUCCAAAUUAAAUAUGUUGGUGUGGUGACUUACAGAUUGUUAAAAUAGUUUAUAAACAAUGUUUAGUUUGUCAAACCCAUACUCCUGGGAAGUCAAUCAAAGCUUCAUGUACAUUUGGCUACCUGAUGAGGCAUUUAAACAUUUAUA